GCUGGCGGUAGGCCUAACACAUGCAAGUCGAACGGCAGCACAGGAGAGCUUGCUCUCUGGGUGGCGAGUGGCGGACGGGUGAGGAAUACAUCGGAAUCUACUCUGUCGUGGGGGAUAACGUAGGGAAACUUACGCUAAUACCGCAUACGACCUACGGGUGAAAGCAGGGGAUCUUCGGACCUUGCGCGAUUGAAUGAGCCGAUGUCGGAUUAGCUAGUUGGCGGGGUAAAGGCCCACCAAGGCGACGAUCCGUAGCUGGUCUGAGAGGAUGAUCAGCCACACUGGAACUGAGACACGGUCCAGACUCCUACGGGAGGCAGC
rnacentral:rRNA from 1 species